ACCUUAGAGACUAACCAAUUUAUUUGAGCAUGAGCUUUCAGCUCAUGCUCAAAUAAAUUGGUUAGUCUCUAAGGUGCCACAAGUCCUCCUUUUCUUCUUUGGGAUGGUGUGACUUUAAGGCUGACUGAUUUCCUGGGUUAGUCUCAAAACCUUUUUUUUGAUUCACCAGGGGAUAUUGUUUUUGUCAACUGUUAUCUUGCCUCUGUCUAGCACCUUAGUGUUUUUUUCACAUGUUGCAAUUCGUGUGUAGAAAAAUAUUCACUAAUGACCAGAUUUUUAAAGAUUAAAAGCAUCUAGAUGCUUUUGAAAAUCCCUCUAGUUGCCUAAAUACCUUUAAAGAUUUGGCUCUGUCUUGUAUAAAAAUCCUUCUCAAAGGCAAUUUUAUACUGUAAUUUUUAUUAAAUAUAGAUCUAAAAGCCCAAGAUAAAUUGGCAACCAUAAGAAUGAAAAAAUCACGAGUUAUACACAUGAAAGUCAUGAAAUUAAAAAAAUAAAUACAUUUUUGGUUUCUUUUAAUUUGCCUUUUUGUUUCUGAGUCUUUAGGGUACAUCAACUUCAUACUUCUGUUACCUCUCCCAAAGAAUUUGUAUACUUAGAACAGUUGUACUUUCCUACAAUAGUUAAUAUCAUUUUGGGUAUCCAGUAACGUGAUUCCCCCCCACCCCCCGGUCAGUUGAUCAGGGGAACUAGUUUUAAGUGCAAUUUACUACCCCGAUGAGCCAUAUGAUAGAAAAAUGAUUGUAAAAGUAUUCUUUUGUCUGGUGUUCUUCAGGGAAAGGGGAAACUCCAUCUUUCCCCAUCCACCAGUACAAACCCGGAUGAUUUUCUGAAACCAUAAAACAAGAUGUUUGGUCAUCUUUAGUUUGGCCACCAAAUCCUCUUUUCCCUUGCUAAAAAUACAAAUAUGACCACAAAUGAGGGACUAAAAAGAAAACUGUCUAAAAUACUGUAGUGGAGAAAUACUAAUUAUACUGAAUCACUGCUUUAUAAACCCCACAGCUGCUGGCUUUGAUGCUGAAUCAGCUGGUCCAUUUCUUCUUCUUUCUGGUGCAUUUUACAUUUAAAUAGAACCCUUCAUUCUAGAAUGCUCUGCUCAUUUCACCUAUACAGUGCUCAUUUCAUCUGCUGUUGAAGUGCAGGCAGUUUUGGAACCAGACAUGCCAGCUGUUUAAAAGUGCACAAUUGAAAACACAGGAAGUAUUUGGUUAGGCAGAAUGUCAUUAGAGUUUAUUCAUAACAGCCAGGUGAACACCUGUGCUUUUGUGAAACAUGCACUCGGAUAAUUAAUGACUGCAGUGGUCAUGCUCUGGUUUUAAUAUUUUAGCCAAGACAGAAAAAAAUCCAACAAGUAUGGGGGCAUAGUUUCCAUGCUUACACAUGGGCAAGAGUGUCAUUUAAUGAAUUACAAAUAUCACUUUCUGUUAUACUCUACUUGUUACUUAGAAAUCUCCUAACUAUUUAGCCCAACUCAGCUUGGCAAGAUCCUGCCAGCACUUACACACAAGUAACGUUAUGCACAUGAGUAGCUCCAGAACUCGCUGGCAUUAGUUUUGUGUAUACAGCUACUCACAUGCAUAAAUGUUUGCAGUUCUGCGGCCUUAGAUUGUGCGAUCUGUAGGAUCACAGCCAGAGCAGUAUGAGCAUAAACAUUAAGAAUUAAUCAUUAACACUGAAGUGGUGGCUAUGAAGUAAAUUACAUAGUAUGUAUUUUGGUUUGCAGUUAAUAAAAGCUUUGUGUCUUUAACGAUUUUUUACAGUUUUUUAAGAUGUCUUUAUUUCUCCAAAAAAUAAUGCUAUAAAAACCAUGCUAAAAGUACAUACAAAUGCUAGUUGCACCAAAAUGCACAUAUUCUAUUAAUAUAAUUGUUUGUUAUUUUAUUAUAGUUUGUUUGAGGUACUGCUCAGAUACGUUAAGCACUUUCUAAACAUUCAACAAGGGAUAUUCACUGCCCAAAAGAGCUGUCAUGUAUGCAUGUUAGGUAAAGCAAAACAAAUUUUCCCCCAGUAGAUAUUGGUGUACAGUUAUGUCUUUCUCAAUAGUGCAUACAUUUUUCUACCUAAAUACAGUUAAUAUAUCUUGAACUAUCUCUUGCAAUAAAUGAUCUCUUUCACCAAAUCUCUACUGUUUCAAGACUAAGUAAUCUGCUCAGGACUAAUCCAAUUUAAUGAACAGUAAUCAAGGAAUAAAGCCAUUCAGCUGACACGUCUAUCAACAGCCUAACCCUGAGAGUUAGGCAAAAAAGCACCAUCACUACUGGACUUGGCAUUGCUCCUGAAUAAAAAGGGCGUAAACUCAGCCUAGUCAAGUCAAUCAUCAAAGCUAAGUGCUGUGGAUGCUACAUACCAAGCCUGGGAAGUGAAAGACUAAAGAUUUUGCAAUUGGAAUUCAGUUAACAAUUCUGUUGACGUGGAAGCCAGGCCAGAAGUCAC